CAGGUAGCUAUUUAGGUGAUGCUGAAUCAUCAGAUUCUUCUAGCCCUUCAAGAAAGGGUUGAUGGUCUGAUAAAAACAGCAAGAGGGUGCAUAAAACUCUUGUAUUAGUUUAAAGUGAGUAAAACACCUUCAUAUAUAAUUAAGUUAAAUGGGCACCGACAGAACACAGACUUAGGGGGGGGAUUAAUAAUCUUGAAAGGCUGCAUUUUAUUCUAAUUCAGUCUCUAUUAAAUCAGUGAUUUGAAAUCAUCAAUGCAAUAUAUUAACCAACAGAAAUUCUUAAAGAACUAAUAAAAACAGAGGGGAAAAAGGAAAUUAUUGGGGCAGGAAAUAAAUACCAAGACUGAAGCUGAGAAAACAGAUGGAAAAAAAGACCCUAAGGGAAUUUAUAAAUAUUUUUGUUGUUAUUAAGAAGUGAACCUCGCUCAGUGACAAGGUCCUAGAAUAUGAUAAACCUGAAAGACAUUACAGUUCUCAGAUAUUGCCCAGCUUGUUCUUAAUUUAAAAUUUCACUUUGAGCCUGUUAACUAUUUCACAAAUGAAGAGUUAACAAAGACAUAAAGUUUUAUGUGGGGAUCAAGUCAUUCUGAUUGCUUUUCCUCUGGUGAACCAGAAAUUAAAGUCUGUACAAGGUACUAGGUAGAUUGUAAAAAAGAAAAAAAAGUCACUCUUAAAAACCAUUAAGAAAAAGCAAAAUCACAAGGGAUAUGGGACAGUUUAUAUGGAGACUAGAAAGGUCUCCCAUAACUUUUCCCAUCCUGAAAUUCCUGGGAACAUUGUAGCUACCCUUGGAAUGGCAGACAUUGAAACUCUCACAUUUUAAAUGAGCAUAUAAUCUUAGGAGCUCCAUUAAACUUUACUAAAGCUACUGAAGAUGGGGGAAACAGGGGAAAGUGAGAAAGAAGAAAAGGAU
rnacentral:lncRNA from 1 species